rnacentral:rRNA from 1 species
UACGUAGGGGGCUAGCGUUGUCCGGAAUUAUUGGGCGUAAAGAGCUCGUAGGCGGUCUGUCACGUCUGCUGUGAAAACUCGGGGCUUAACCCCGGGCCUGCAGUGGGUACGGGCAGACUAGAGUGCGGUAGGGGAGACUGGAAUUCCUGGUGUAGCGGUGAAAUGCGCAGAUAUCAGGAGGAACACCGGUGGCGAAGGCGGAUCUCUGGGCCAUUACUGACGCUGAGGAGCGAAAGCGUGGGGAGCGAACAGG